GAGAUGGGUCUGUUUACCUCGCGUGCUUCCCCAACAGCUGGGGCCAGGUCUUUUUGAAAAGCUUCCUAUAACCAAGCUGAACAAGGAUCUGUGCCCACAGUAUGAGUGAGCCCCUCCAUUUGCCGUCUUCUCUGUUUUCUCAACUAACACCAUCUACAGAAGUCGGCAGUGACCGUUGGGUUUUUCCAGUGGAUACCAGAACGCCACUUCCUGCCUCCUGGAGGGAAGACAGAAUAACUGUUUGGCAGCAAGAGGCCACACAGGAAGCUGGAGAAGAUGUGGGGAUGGUGGUAGUCCAAAGGAGGAGACUUGACCUGGGCACCCACCUUAGGAGGCAGACCCACCCUCCGUGUCCUGGCAGGAGUGAAUGUUGCCCUCCACCCAGGUGCUCAGAUGCUCUCUCAGACACCCCCUUGGUACCAGGUUUGUUCUCCAGGCCUAGGACAGAUGGGUACCCCCCACUCUAAGCCAACACUCCGGUGAUUAGAACCACUGACUCCUGCCUCCCCUGCCCUCCCCCAUGGCAGGCCCCUACAGAAGCAAAACGUAGUCACCUUAGACCCUGGCAUACUGAGGCCAGGCCCUGACCUGUGGGCCUCACCUUCCUGCCAAUUUAUUAUUUAAUAAAAAUAUUGUUAAAUAGUA